UAUUGUCUGACAUCACAAAACUUUCCCACAAGUAAUUGAGAAAUUACUAAAAGCAACAUACCAUUCAUUAUAACCACACAGCUGCGGUCAGAGAGAGAGAAAUAGAGAGAAACCAUCUUCUUGAUUAAAUUGUCCUUGUCCUCGUCCUCUGGCUGUCGCUGCGUUUCGAAGCCAUAAACAUCCAUGUGCCAAACAAUUGAGCCUAAUCCGGAUGCUCCUAUGCCAUAAGGUACGCUGGGUUUCAAGCUGCCGGCGAAAACAAUAUGGGAGCCCCAAACACCAUAUCCCACAGAAUCGGGGAGAUCUGAGCCGGCCUUGUAAGCCAUAUCGGCGAUAUGAUAUCGCACAAUUGACUUCAAGAGGAAGACGAUGGCUGACGUCAUGGAUCUGAAUGGGUUGUCGAUGUUGCAGGCGGUGCAUGAGGUGGAGACGAACUUUUCCAGCUUCCCAAUCUUUGCCUUCAUUGUCGCUCCUCCUCCAACUUGCUUCGCAUGUUGCUGAUUAUAAAACCCCGCUCUGCAUCAAAAUCAAUUUCUCAUUUUUCUUUCUUUUUUCCUUUAAAGAUCACUUCUUCCUGUGAAGUGAAUCAAUCCAUCAGAGAAAGAAAGAAAAUAAUUCGAAAGCAGCUAGAAGAAGAGGGUUAACUCCAAAAAAAAGUUUUUUGUUUCGGAAGUACCGCUUUUACCUUUCAAAAGUUAACACCGUUGACGAUAUUACUGUACGGAAAUUGGGUCGGGCUUAAAUCGUCAGGGUACCAUUGGUGUAUAUAUAUGAGCAUAAGCGUCAGGCCUGGGUUCGAACGAUUGAUUACUGAUCUGUUUUGUUGCUUUAUCUUUGAUGCUGGCAUGGGUUGGACUGAAAGUGAGUAAGAGAGAAAGGUCAGUCUCUUUCUCAGCGGAUUGGUUUCAGGGAGACGAAGAAUACGAUUAAGGAAAUGAUUAGAACACCAAAUUGUCUGGCAAUGGGGUUUUCUUUGUGUUGGAGUGUGAGAUCUCAGUAAUUGAUUGGACUGGUUUGAGAUCUGGUGAUAUACCUGUGCUGCAUAUGUGACAUUCAGAGAUGCUUAUGCUCUUGAAACUGCUGUUUUGCUUGGUAUGCUCGAAACUACAGGACCUGAGAUAUGGUGACAUCUUUGUAAUGGGAAUUGGUAGCGGAGGCACCAUCUCUGGGGUUGGACGGUAUCUCAAAUCUCAGAACCUUGAUUGUAAGAUAUAUGGAGUGGAGCCUGCUGAAAGUAAUAAUAUACUAAAUGGUGGUAAACCAGGUCCUCAUUCGAUUACUGGCAAUGGGAUUGGAUUCAAACCCAAUGUAUUGGACAUGGACAUAAUGGAAAGACUUCUUGAGCUACUUCGUGUAUGUGAUUUCGCUGACAAAGUCUUCAACACCAGUGAGACACGAAUAAAAAUUUUACUUGAAGAGGCACAUGACUGGAAGCUUUCCACUCCAUGCAAGCCAAUACCACAGUGUAGAACCGGAGGAAAUAUUCCAUGAAGCUCAUGAAUGGAAAUUAAUACUCCCAGCCACUGUAUUGUAUUGAUUCACUUAGAAUACAGUUUGCACUGAAAUCUUAAGUCCGGAAAAUAGUUCUCUUUGGCCGGCAAACACGUAAUGGACCUCAGAGACUAAGCUCAGUGUCCCGAAUCUAUCAAAUCAAAGUUGUCAGCUGCUUCAGCCAGGAAAAGGCAUAUAUUUAGGUAGAUCAAGUAUGAGCGUCAGAGGUCAUGGUUUUGGCAUCAAGGGAGGUUUAAUGCUAUCAGAGGCUUCAUUAUGAAAAUUAUCUCAGAUGUAUAAGAAUGAUAUGAAUUUUUUUUGGGUGUAAUUGUGAAGUAUCAGGAAUUAAGUACUUCCAAUUUUUUUUACGCUUAUUCUUGUCUAUGAAGCUUUUGGUUUCUGAAUGACUGACACUAUUACCUAAAUUCAUGUGUUGGAAAGAGUUGCCUGCUUUUACGAUUCUCUGAUGUCUCCUUCACAACCAGCUUCAUACCACUAUUGGGUUUGUAUUCUUAGAAACUUUGGACAUUUUGUAAUCAGAAACUCUUUAGCAGAUAAAUGUUUAAUCAUCACAUUAAGUCAAUUGGAUGAUGAUCUAGGCUUAUAGAAUAUAGAAAUAUGGCAUUAUAAAGUGAAAUGUUUUUUGUUUUAGUGUACUACAUGAAUAUAUCUGGUAAUGCAAGCAGGCUUUUAAUGUAUCUUUAGGCUCAUAUUAGCUUAAUGAAUAGUGUUAAGGGCUGCAAUGAGUGUAUAUUAUAAUGCAAGGAGUCAAAAUUCAAGAAGCUAGAUUUUGAUAAUUAGAUGCAUGUGUCAAUUUCUAACUUUGUUUGCUGUUUUGACCCUCUUUGAAUUGAACCUCUAUGAGAACAUCAAAUUUGAUUGUCACAUAAGAUUUUGGAGUUCCAUUGGUUCUGCAGCACUUGCUGAUGGCUCGUCUGCAAGG